rnacentral:rRNA from 1 species
AUGUACUCGUCGCAGUCGCUAAGCCGCGUCAACAACAUCCGCACCUCCCUCAUCAAUGUGCGAAAGGGCAACCAGACCAUCGCUGCCUACUUCUCCACCAUGCGCGGCCUUGCGGAUGAGCUCGCCGCUGCCGGCAAACCGAUCCAGGAUGACGAACUCAUCUCGUAUAUCCUUCAUGGGUUGGAUAUGGAGUACCAGCCCCUCGUCUCGGCCUUCGACGCCCGUGUCAUCCCUGCCUCCCUCGACGAAAUCUUCUCCAUGCUAAGCAACUUCGAACAGCGCAUGGCGCAGUUCCAUGGAUCGGGC